rnacentral:rRNA from 1 species
GAUGAACGCUGGCGGCGUGCCUAAUACAUGCCAGUCGAGCGAACAGACGAGGAGCUUGCUCCUCUGACGUUAGCGGCGGACGGGAGAGUAACACGUGGAUAACCUCCCUAUAAGACUGGGAACAUUUCGGGAAACCGGAGCUAAUACCGGAUAAUAUAUUGAACCGCAUGGUUCAAUAGUGAAAGACGGUUUUGCUGUCACUUAUAGAUGGAUCCGCGCCGGAUUAGCUAGUUGGUAAGGUAACGGCUUAACAAGGCAACGAUGCGUAGCCGACCUGACAGGGUGAUCGGCGACACUGGAACUGAGACACGGUCCAGACUCCUACGGGAGGCAGCAGUAGGGAAUCUUCGGCAAUGGGCGGAAGCCUGACGGAGCGACGCCGCGUGAGUGAUGAAGGUCUUCGGAUCGUAAAACUCUGUUAUUAGGGAUGAACAGAUGUGUAAGUAACUAUGCACGUCUUGACGGUACCUAAUCAGAAAGCCACGGCUAACUACGUG